rnacentral:rRNA from 1 species
UACGUAGGGUGCGAGCGUUAAUCGGAAUUACUGGGGGUAAAGCGUGCGCAGGCGGCUUUGCAAGACAGAUGUGAAAUCCCCGGGCUCAACCUGGGAACUGCAUUUGUGACUGCAAGGCUAGAGUACGGCAGAGGGGGAUGGAAUUCCGCGUGUAGCAGUGAAAUGCGUAGAUAUGCGGAGGAACACCAAUGGCGAAGGCAAUCCCCUGGGCCUGUACUGACGCUCAUGCACGAAAGCGUGGGGAGCAAACAGG